AGGUGACAGUGAAGUGGCUGAAAGCACAGAUUCUGGAGCCAAAUUGCUUGAAUCAAAAAUCUGGCUAUGCUCCUUCCUAGGUUUGCAACUUUGUGCAGGUUUCCUCAUUUGGAAAAAAUGAUUACAAUAGCACUUAUCUCACGGAGAAGAGCAGGCUUAUUUAAGAGAGAUCAGAUUUUUUUAUACAGUAUCAGAUUUGUACUCCAAGUCUUUCAAAACUUGACAGAAGGGUCAUCCAAAGCUGCCUUCCUGCUUUCCAGGUAUGAAUCCAGAGCUGCAGUCCAUAAGGCCAUAAGAAAUAUAGGCAUGGGUAUAAAGGGACAUGGAAGCCAAAAAGCCAUCAUCUGGCCAUCUGAAUCUGGCCCUGCAAUUGUCUCUUCACUCAUGAAUACGUGAUUUUACUUGCCAGCAGAAACAGCUGACAGAGGAUAGCCUCUGCCUCCCAUCUGCCUUCCAACCAAGCAAGUAUCAUUUGAUGACUUUUCACCUCUGCAGAAUAGUACGACACCAUAAAAGAGGGGUGGAAAUGGGGUUGAGAUCUACAGCCUAAGUAUCCCUCACUGAC
rnacentral:lncRNA from 1 species